AUUGAACGCUAGCGGGAUGCUUUACACAUGCAAGUCGAACGGCAGCGCGGACUUCGGUCUGGCGGCGAGUGGCGAACGGGUGAGUAAUGUAUCGGAACGUGCCCAGUAGCGGGGGAUAACUACGCGAAAGCGUAGCUAAUACCGCAUACGCCCUACGGGGGAAAGCAGGGGAUCAUAAGACCUUGCACUAUUGGAGCGGCCGAUAUCGGAUUAGCUAGUUGGUGAGGUAACGGCUCACCAAGGCGACGAUCCGUAGCUGGUUUGAGAGGACGACCAGCCACACUGGGACUGAGACACGGCCCAGACUCCUACGGGAGGCAGCAGUGGGGAAUUUUGGACAAUGGGGGCAACCCUGAUCCAGCCAUCCCGCGUGUGCGAUGAAGGCCUUCGGGUUGUAAAGCACUUUUGGCAGGAAAGAAACGUCGCGGGCUAAUACCCCGUGGAACUGACGGUACCUGCAGAAUAAGCACCGGCUAACUACGUG
rnacentral:rRNA from 1 species